ACGGGCCAUCAGGGGGCGGAGCUACACGGGACAAGAGCCAGACUGCUGCAGAUCCAUCCUUCCUGCCACUGCCAGCCAGAUCAAUCUUCCUUAGAAAAUGGAAAUGAAAGAGUAAACCAGCUUGGCAACUGGAAGCAUCUCUAAGGCCUCUGUAAAGCUUCCUAAGAAAUCCGUAACAUGAGAAAUCGAUGGAUUGUGGGCUACUUGCUGCUUCUUCUUACACUUAAGAUAUGAAAACACCGGACAUCUGGUUAGCUGGAUUCUGGAAGUCAAGUACCUGACGUAUCACCAGUAUUAAUUCUUAAACUCUGUGGCUUCUAGGGAAAUCACUAUCCCAGUUACCAUUGCAGCUUGAUCAUGUGGUGGGGGUGUGCACUUUGGUUCUUUCUGAUGAUGUCAGCAGUUGCGGCCGCCGGUCGGGUGUGUGGUCUCGUUCCCGGAAGCCGAUGCUCUUCACGGGGGUGAUACAGUGUUAUAAAGUAUGUCUGCUUUCUCAUUCUUUAAUAAACCUGACGACAGUGAGGAGGCACUGAAA